CCUACGGGAGGCAGCAGUAGGGAAUCUUGCGCAAUGGGCGAAAGCCUGACGCAGCCAUGCCGCGUGAAUGAUGAAGGUCUUAGGAUUGUAAAAUUCUUUCACCGGGGAAGAUAAUGACGGUACCCCGGAGAAGAAGCCCCGGCUAACUUCGUGCCAGCAGCCGCGGUAAUACGAAGGGGGCUAGCGUUGCUCGGAAUUACUGGGCGUAAAGGGCGCGUAGGCGGAUAGUUUAGUCAGAGGUGAAAGCCCAGGGCUCAACCUUGGAAUUGCCUUUGAUACUGGCUAUCUUGAGUUCGGGAGAGGUGAGUGGAAUGCCGAGUGUAGAGGUGAAAUUCGUAGAUAUUCGGCGGAACACCAGUGGCGAAGGCGACUCACUGGCCCGAUACUGACGCUGAGGCGCGAAAGCGUGGGGAGCAAACAGGAUUAGAUACCCUGGUAGUCCACGCUGUAAACGAUGAGUGCUAGUUGUCGGCAUGCAUGCAUGUCGGUGACGCAGCUAACGCAUUAAGCACUCCGCCUGGGGAGUACGGUCGCAAGAUUAAAACUCAAAAUGAAAUUGACGG
rnacentral:rRNA from 1 species